UCGACGCGAGCACUUGUGCUCGAGUGGCGAACGGGUGAGUAAUACAUAAGUAACCUGCCCUAGACAGGGGGAUAACUAUUGGAAACGAUAGCUAAGACCGCAUAGGUACGGACACUGCAUGGUGACCGUAUUAAAAGUGCCUCAAAGCACUGGUAGAGGAUGGACUUAUGGCGCAUUAGCUGGUUGGCGGGGUAACGGCCCACCAAGGCGACGAUGCGUAGCCGACCUGAGAGGGUGACCGGCCACACUGGGACUGAGACACGGCCCAGACUCCUACGGGAGGCAGCAGUAGGGAAUUUUCGGCAAUGGGGGAAACCCUGACCGAGCAACGCCGCGUGAAGGAAGAAGGUUUUCGGAUUGUAAACUUCUGUUAUAAAGGAAGAACGGCGGCUACAGGAAAUGGUAGCCGAGUGACGGUACUUUAUUAGAAAGCCACGGCUAACUACGUGCCAGCAGCCGCGGUAAUACGUAGGUGGCAAGCGUUAUCCGGAAUUAUUGGGCGUAAAGAGGGAGCAGGCGGCAGCAAGGGUCUGUGGUGAAAGCCUGAAGCUUAACUUC
rnacentral:rRNA from 1 species